GAAGGGGGCUAGCGUUGCUCGGAAUUACUGGGCGUAAAGGGAGCGUAGGCGGACAUUUAAGUCAGAGGUGAAAUCCCGGAGCUUAACUUCGGAACUGCCUUUGAUACUGGGUGUCUUGAGUGUGAGAGAGGUAUGUGGAACUCCGAGUGUAGAGGUGAAAUUCGUAGAUAUUCGGAAGAACACCAGUGGCGAAGGCGACAUACUGGCUCAUUACUGACGCUGAGGCUCGAAAGCGUGGGGAGCAAACAGGAUUAGAUACCCUGGUAGUCCACGCCGUAAACGAUGAUUGCUAGCUGUCGGGAAGCUUGCUUCUCGGUGACGCAGCUAACGCAUUAAGCAAUCCGCCUGGGGAGUACGGUCGCAAGAUUA
rnacentral:rRNA from 1 species